rnacentral:piRNA from 2 species
UGUAGCUUCAGCAGAAUUAUCUUCCC